AUUAAAUGUAAUAUGAAAAUUUAUUAAAGAAACAUACUUGGGCAUGAUUCCACUAAAGUACUUAUUAAUCGCUACUAAAUGUUGGCACAAAAUUUUAAUGCGCGCACAAAAUGAAAUCGUGAAAAAUUAGUCAACAAACAUCUUCGAUGUUUUUUAAAACACCCAUGUUUUGAUUUAACAUCGCAUUCGUAAAAACAUCGAUGAACAUCGGAUGUUUGAAGCCACGACCAUCGAUUUUGCUCGAUAUAUUGAUGUUUUUUUACAUUCCUAGCUCUAGGUAGAGUAACAUAAAACCCCAGAAAAAAAGUAAAUUUACUGUAUUUUACAUUGCAAAAUAGAUAUUCUUUGAUAUGUUAUGCAGACUUUGUAUAAAACACUCCGAUUCUUUCUUAUAUAUAUUCGAUAAGAAUGGAUUGCAACUAGAAAUUGCUGAUAUACUCGGACGCCACUUUUGGUUUAUGCCCGAUCCAGAUGACAUUUCAUUGGUUAUUUGUUCCGCUUGCUGGAUGAAAGUUAAUGACUUCCAUGAAUUUUAUGUAACAGUAGAGAAAAGACAUGCUACACUCACCAGUUAUGACUUCAAGAAGGAAACUUUCAAUGAAAUGGACAACGAAUUUAUUGACCCCAUCCUGACUAUUAAAGAAGAGCUUUCCAAAACUCCUUUGUUGGGUAAUGAAGGUAGCAAAAGGCUGACUGACGAGCUGAACCCCUUGUGCGAAGUAGAAUCUGAUGAAGUGACGAACAGAACUCGUUUAGAAAAAAACGAUGUUUCUAUGUAUACAAGUGCAGAAACUAUUGGGAAUACCGGAGGUAGUACGUCUUCAGCCAACUUUACUUUAGAAAAUGUAAGAAACGAUGUAAUUGAAAAAAUAUCAACUAAAAAAUUGCAAAUGCUAAAAGAAGAGAAUUUGCAGCACGAACAUAAAGGGAAGAAAACAUUUAGCGUAAAGACAUCAAGAGAAGACGAUGAUAUGGUAAAAAAAUACAUCCAAAUGACUUGUGAGUUGUGUGCUUAUAUCAGUGGUGAUUAUAUUUCAAUGAGGAAGCAUUUUCGAAUACAGCACCCAAAGAUAAAAGCCUUCGUACGUUGUUGCAAUAAGAAACUGUUCGACCGGCUUGAAAUCGUACGGCACGCUUAUAAACAUCAUGAUCCCGAAUUCUUCAAGUGCAAGGAAUGUGAAAAGGUUUAUUCCGAUCAGUAUACUCUAAAAUUUCAUCUGAUGCACGCACAUGAGUCGGAAGGACUCAAUUUUGCAUGCGAUCAAUGUCCCAAGAAAUUUGCACGGCAAAAUUUGCUGGAGUUACAUCGUGGCUCGCAUGUCCCUAUAAGCGAGCGUACUUUCGUAUGUGAACAAUGUCCAAAGAGUCGAUUCGCUAGCAAUAAUCUAUUGAAAAUUCACAUUAGCAUGCGACAUCGACGUGCAGUCAACGUUUGUCAUGUCUGUGCUAAAGAAAUACGAGAUAAGCAAUCAUUCGAAAAGCAUGUGCGUUUACAUUUUGAAGCCACUGGCCCUCGAGUUAAAUGCCCACGGCCAGGUUGUGACAGUUGGCUGAAAGAUGAGGAAAUACUGCGACAGCAUCUGGGUCGUCACAAUGACGAAGGACUAAUAUUUACAUGUGACCAAUGUGGACGUAAUUGUAAGAAUCGGCGAGCACUUCGCAGCCACAUUCUAUGCGUGCAUUCUAAAGAAGUAUUCACUUGUGGAGCAUGCAACAAAACAUUUAAGAAAGCUGUAUCAUUACGGGAACACAUGGCAACGCACACAGGGGAAACUCUGUACAAAUGCCCUUUCUGUACACGAACAUUUAACUCAAGCGCGAACAUGCACUCACAUAAGAAGAAAAUGCAUCCAGUAGAAUGGGAUAUUUGGCGCAAAGCCAAGAUUGGAGAUCCACAGUAUGUGAUAAGUAAACAGCAGACCGAUGUAUAGGUAUUUGAACUAUAUAGAUACAGCGAGUGUCAGUGAAAAUGGUGUAGUAAAUUUUUUCCACUUCAUUUCAAUAAUAGUCAUAUGAAACAGACGUUCCUUACAGACUAGAGAUAAAAAUUUAGCUACUUAGACGAUACGUGUAAAACAUAAAGCACUCUACAGUUUCGAAAUCGAAGAAAAAAUAAAUAAACUUUUUGGAAGAGAAAUCCAGGUAGAUAGAAUUCGAGAUCGUGUUAAAUUCGUUUAAAGCUCUUGAAAUAGGAGCAUUUCUGGCAUACUCCGUUUUAAAAUUUCCUCCAUAAAACGGCAGAGGACUGCGAAGAUUCCUUAGAGGAACAUUGAAGUUGACCCGCUCUAGGAGCGUAGGGCAAUCGAUCACACCAUUUAUUAAGUUAAAGGUAAAAGUUAGAGAUAGCAAAGAUCUUCUGGCUUCCAGAGAUUUAAGGUCUAUUAAUAGCAAACGAGACUUAUACGAUGGAAUAGGCUCGCUGAAGUUAAGAUUUCUGAGGGCAAAUUUAAGAAAAACCUUCUGGACCCUUUCAAUCCUAUUAAUUAGGUUUGAGUGGUAUGGCCUCCAGAUAAAAGAAGCAUAUUCUAACUUAGAACGAACAAAAGAUGUGUAUAACAAUUUAAGUGUAUAGGGGUCAGAGAACAUUGAGCUCUGACGCCUGAGAAAACCAAGUACAGCGUAAGAUUUAGAAAUGAUGUGACUGAUAUGACUGUUAAAAGACCAAUUAGAGCUGAAAAUUACACCAAGGUCUUUGAUUUCUUGGACUUUUUGAAGUUGAGUCUGAGAGAUUACAUAAGACGUCGAAAGAAUAUUGUGACUUUUGGAAAAAGUAACUUGAAAACAUUUUUUAAUAUUCAGAGAAAGGCGAGAGCUGAGACACCAGUUGUGUAGAAUAUUAAUCUCGGACUGAAGUCUUAGCGCAUCAUGCGCGUUUUCAAUCACAGCAAAAAUUUUUAAAUCGUCAGCAUACAGCAAAAAUUUAGCAAAUGAAAAACAAGAACUCACAUCAUUUAUAAAUAAUACAAAGAGUAAGGGACCUAAAAUGCUACCUUAAGGAACCCCCGAUGAGGCAAUGAAAGAUUCCGAAGAACAACCAUUAACUGAGACCACACAGCGCCUAUCCGACAAAUAAGAUUUGAGCCAUUGCAAAAAUUCUGGGUGGAAACCUAGUGAGGCUAGCUUACUGACCAACAAACUGUGCGAAACUCUAUCAAAUGCUUUGGCAAGAUCAGUGUAAAUGCAGUCGACUUGGAAACCGUUCGAGAUAGCUGCAAUACAAUACUCACUAAAGACGCCUAGAUUAGUAACCGUGCAUCGGUUGGGGACGAGAAUUUUGUUUAUGGAUUUAAGUUACUUCAUAACGCCUCUUGGGAGAAGUCAAGAUCUCCUUGUUGUUGCUGUUGUAGCGGCUACAACAACCCCGCCCAGAUCGGUUGGUAUCUCAGUCAUUGUCAAGUUCCA